GAUGAACGCUGGCGGCAUGCCUAAUACAUGCAAGUCGGGCGAACGGACGAGAAUCUUGCUUCUCUGAUGUUAGCGACGGACGAGUAAGUGACACGUGGAGAAGCUCAAUAUAAGACUGGGACAACUUCUGGCAACCAUAGCUAAGACCGGAUAAUAUUUUGAACCGCAUGGUUCAAAAGUGAAUGACUGUCUUGCUGUCACUUAUAGAUGUAUCCGAGCUGCAUUAGCUAGUUGGUAAGGUAACGGCUUACAAAGGCAACGAUGCAUAGCCAACCUGAGCGGGUGAGCGGACACACUGGAACUGAGAGACGAUCCACACUGCGACGGGAGGCAGGAGUAGGGAAUCUUCCGAGAAAGGCGAAAGGCUGACGGAGCAACGCGGCGUGGGUGGUGAAGGUCUUGGCAUGGUAAAGUACUGUUAUUAGGGAAGAACAUAUGCGUAAGUAACUGUGCACAUAUUGACGGUACCUAAGCAGUAAGCCACGGCUAACUAUGUG
rnacentral:rRNA from 1 species